ensembl:lncRNA
UGAGAAGUGAAGGAUUUCAUUACAUUUGAUCAUACAAUUUUGUCAGAAAAAAUUACAGUUAAAAAUCAAGACCUGGCUCAUUUUCUCAUCAUUUUAUGAAUUAGCAUGCAGUUAAAUUAUCAAAUAAAUUCUGACUGUAUAAGAGAAAAUAAACUUAAAUUCGUGCAUUUUGGUUUCAUUUACCAAACUGAAUUUCUUGCACCCUUUUCUCUGAAAUUAUGUUUCUAUUUGAGGAAGAUUCACUUCAGGGUGAAUUUGAUUUUGAAAAAGCAUGUGCAUGGCAAUUACUGGAGUUAGGAUCAUGUGCUUGCAUACAGUUUUCAUUGUGCUUGGCUCCGGGAGGCUGGGUUUUGGAUUCCAGUUCCGAUUUUCACUGUGUAAGGAGGGAAAGCUCCCCACCAUCUCUGGGCUGAGGGUUCUUCCGGCUGAUUGGAAGAUGGAGCGAAUGGCAGUCCUAUUCCAGCACAGAACAUACAGCAAGGCAGAGGAAAUUUAUUCUUUUGCUUUUAGGUUUGACUUCUGCUCUGUGUGUGGGGUUUAUGCUUUCUAAUGUUUCCAGAAGAGUUCCCUGAUCAUUUUUCAUUCUACACAAGGUCUAGCAAGAGAGAUGGGCAAUACAUCCAACAAUUGAAAUCGACUGUCCAGAAAACUAAUGGGAAGGAUGGUUGUGAAAUGAUGUGAAACUGGGGAGAAGAGACACCUAGUCUGGACUUAAGCAUUGGAAUGUUUUCGGCAGAGAAGUGGAAUCUAAGAAGAGGCUUAAAGAUGAGCAUGAUUUAGCCAUAUAUGGAGAGAAAAGAAGACACUUCCAAACACAGAACUCAUCUCCUUGUGGUCUAAAAGGAAGAUGAUAGUGUGGAGUAUUCCGAAAACCAAGGAGAAUUCAACCUGGCUAGAUCAUGGAGUUAGUGAGAAGUAUUGAACACUGGAACUAAAGAAUUGGCCAGUAUCUAGUUUUUAAACCUUUUAGAAACUAGGGUGAGAAUUUGGGUGGUAUCUUAUAGUCAAUCAGAAAUCAUUGAAGGGUUUAAAUAAUUGAAGACAUAAAUAGUUGUAAAACUGAUUUGCCAGGCUUUGGAAAAUGUUUGGAAGGCAUCUAGAGUGGAACUGAUGAGAGGAGGGAGGGGUAACCUGGAGCAGAGGUGUGGCCAUGACCAUGGGGAGAGCAUGCAGACUAGAGCUAUACAAAAGAGAUGGUUUCUUCCGGAGCUUUAGUUACAGUAAUUAAUAUCUUGAUGGUGUAAUGUGUAUUCCCUGGAUUGUGUUGGGUAAAACAAAUGCUGGUACUAUUUUGGUUUGGAUAUCAAAUACCACCAAAAGUCUCACAUGAGGAAGUAGGGUCUGGUCAGAAGGGGUGUGUAGUGAGGGUGUGGCUUGGAAGGGUGUAUUCUCAUCUCCAGCUCUUCUCUUUUCUUCUCUCUCUGCUCCCUGGUUGCCAUGUGGUGAAG